rnacentral:misc_RNA from 1 species
GGUUUACUUGUGCUCUAUAGAGGAAGAAAUUAUCAUCCCAAGAAGAGACCUGUUAUCCCCUUAAUGCUCUGGAAGCCUCACGAACCUGUAUAUCCCAGGCUUAUAAAAACUACUAUCGAUGGCUUGAGUAUCGAGGAAACUAAAGAGAUGAGAAAAAGAGGAUUAGCUGUUCCUGCAUUAACAAAACUAGCCAAAAAUGGUUACUAUGGAAGUCUUGUACCGAUGGUACGAGAUGCUUUUCUCAGUGAGGAGCUGGU